CCUGAACCUUCAGGCUCAGACCAUUUUCUUUCACUGACAGAGUCUACUCCACAAGUAACAAGUCUGAACAGCCCAUGUUGUUGACUUCUGGAGCUGUAGCUCCAGCUUCUAGAGUGAUUUUGCUGUGUGGAAGAUGCUUAGUAAAUAUCAUUUUGCAAGGAAAAAUGUCUUAGUGGUGCACGCUGAGGUUCAAAUGCAUGGUUUUCGCUUUUAGCAUAGCAUGGAGCAAAACUGGAAGAGCAAAGAGUCAAGGUCACGCUCUGUUUCUUGGAGAAGAAAACGUCCUAUUCCAAAAACUAAACCAAAUAAACAAAACAAAAAGCCCCGUAGCGAAACCAUCAUGAGUUUUAUGAAACUUAGAAACCUUCCGGAGCCCUGCAGAGCACCUGCCGGGCGGGCGACACACAGAGCCAGCACACUCGGAGUCCCACUCAGAGCUCAGACUAAUAGAAGCGGAAAAGGAACACCAUGGAAACACCAGACGGGCUGAGAGACAAGCAAGCUUUGAAAUACCUGAACCUCAAUCGGAUAGCAAGUUCCAGCAGGUUUUAAAAGACGAGCUCUCUGAGUUUACCUCCUUCGCCUGUGUGUCACUCCAGAUAUUCUCCUCAGUCCUGUGUUUGCAAAAUGUCAUAGUGCUCUCUACAAUCAAACGCAAAGGCUCGCAUUUAGUCACAGGCACAUGAGGGGAUUUUUGUCGUGACUUUCCUGAAUUCUCACUGCGCCAAGACAGAAAGGAAGUGCCCACAGGAGUGGGAGGGAAGGGACACAUGGCGUGGCAGCAAGGAAACCUGCCUAGGGAGCCAGCCUUCCCUUCUGUCCCUGCUGCCUUCCAGAGACAGCGUCGCUCCUUGACAGCGCCUGCCUCCUGUCACUUCAGCCCAAGCCUCUGCCCAACCUUGAAGUCUGGAUUUGGUUUCGAAAGACGUCUAGAGAGAAAAAUAGACAAUCAACAGCCAAGAGUAACUGCAGCAGAGCUGGGCGGCCAGUUCCUCCAGAUAUUUCAAAUGUCAGUGCUAAGGACCCAUUUUGACUUCUAGCGAUGUGUUUCAUUUCACUGCGUACAUUCUUUGUUUUUCCGUGUCUCCUGUUACUGACUUGUUUGUCCCUCAGUGGCUUCCUCACCCAUCCGUUCUGGGGUUAGUCUAAUCUUAGGAACUCACCAAAACUCAAAACUCAUCCAACAGAAGCCCUGGAAUGCUUCAACUAAGGUUAGAAAGACAGGGUGACCCAGCUGUUGGCAGUUCAUUAAUGAGUCUGCAUCCUCAGCGCACAAGGCUUUGAAGACUUAUGUCUGUGACCGUAAAACUAGAAGACUCUGCAGUCAUACCACCCAGACGGGGAUCUGACCAAGUAAGGAGACUGAUCUUGGCCCAGUGUUUGCCCCAGGAAACCGUGGGGUCCAAAACAUGAAUGCUGACAGGCUGUACUUUGUGAUGUGUCUUGUCCCCCCGAGCCACUGCUCAGUUAGUGUACUGCAACCGUUUGUUUAUAUGGCUCUGGCGGACUGAGGAACUCAGCUAGGAGUUCUGUCUGACUCACUUCAUACCAGUGUCUGACCAUACCUAACAUAUGAAGGGCUGCAAAACUCAAAUGAAUGAAUGAAUAGCCUAUUGUUAGACCAGCAAAACCAUCUGAUUAAGAUGAAAAAGAUGAAACUUUAAAACCCACAGUGCUCUGACCACCAGGGUCUACCCAGUUAUCCAGUGCAAGGCAGGUACAGCCCUGCAUUUUGCAAGCACAGUAUGUCUACCCCUUGCUGUUCCCAUUUCAUAGUUAUCUGUGCUCCAGUCCCAAUAGCCAUAAGAAUACGCGCUCACUCAAGCCAUGGUUCGGUCAGUAAAGACAAUCCUUGGACUUCCUUCAGAUGAAUAUCUACUGAUCUGAAACUGUGCAGCUCGGCUUUUACUGGCCGGGUGACUACUGGUGUUAGGAAAGGAGCAGGACCCAAAGUUACAGACAAGGAGCGGGAGGACGGCAAGAAGAGAACCGGAGAGAGUGGAAGUCUUGUUCUCUGGCCCGUACUUGUCAUUUCCUUGCUCUAGCUCAGGCACUGGGCUACGUUCCUGCCAGGCACCAAACCUCACCUAAGACUUGACAAGCUGACCCACGCCACUUUUCUCCCAGUAAUGCUGGCAGUGAGGAGGCGGCUGCAUGCACAUGGUUCUGAAGCACAGAGCCCUGGAGGAGUUAGGAGCUGCCUGUCUCUCGGCUGUCCCGGCCCUGUGCUUACUCAAGGCUGCAGCCGGUGUUGCUGCUCCUGAGGAGCAGGUCUGAACGCUGAGAAUGAAGAACGACUGCUGCUCUCUUAGGGACACUGAGAGACUCGUCAUCCGCUAGAGGCAGCCGCAGCUCGGGUGCUGAUCGGGUUCUGGCACCACAGUGAGUGAUGAGCCGUGGGUAACGUCUGCAGGAAACAAGAAGCCGUGACAAAGGAAGGGAAGCCCCCCGGGUACAAACCCUCUGGCUCCACACUAGCAGGGCAAUAGACCUGAUAUCCUAACUUGACCUAUGGCUGAAACUCCAGUCCGGGUCUCUUUUCCCUUCCUUGUGGACUACAAAAGCGAACAAUUCUGUCAUAUGUUAUAGUAUUAGUAGUUAGAAUAAGGAGAGGAACCAUUAAAGCUAUCAGACCCUAGGAACUGGAUUUAAGUCAUGAAAUCAACAGCCCUAUAAAAUCCUGCCCACUGAGCUUUCCUAAAUAUGAUGUUAGGCUUCAGAAGUGCCAACCCAACACAAGUCCGUGCUGUCUGGCAGCUGCAGAGAAUCUCUUGAUCAUGACGCACGAACUGGCUGGCUCACAAACUAUGGCAAUGCCCUGUCACUGCUCCCUCACACUUCCCAGUGAGGCCGCCGCCACCUUUACCUGCACCGGCUGGGUGUGCACACUCAGCGACCUGGGAUGGGUGUGUCUUAUGGCGGACGGGGCACCGGCUCCCAAGACACAACGAUGGACAGAAUUAGACUGGCCACUCUCCACAGAGCUCUCCGUCCAGAACCUGAGAGUAAAGCACACGUUUCAGGAAGUGCUGUGGAAGAUACCGUGCCAGUGCUACCCAGGAGAGUUUACAUAAACUACUCCGCUGUCUCCUGAGCGCUGAGGACAGACAAGACGCCCAGCUCCUGGUCACUACAGUAACUGUACUCCGCAGAGCACCCCAUGCAUGCAGGAGCUCAUGGGCAGGUCUUCUCCUCCGCGCUGUAAGCUCCUGGAGGAUGGGGACAAUUUUAACUUAUUCAUCACUUAGCCCCAGGGCUGGACUAGAGUUCACAGCACAGCAUUUUCUGCAUCUCGCUGGCUUUCCUUCUCCAGGAGACGGGUCUCUACCAGAGCCUCUCAGCCUACAGGGCAGGUGGGAACCACUGAGGUGUCCAUUCAAAUGCCGGCCCCCAGUACCCACUAUCAUGGAUUGCGAUUCGUUGGGUGAGUUGUGGCCCAGCGUCUGCGCUUACAACCAUCACACUUCUUGGAGACUGCUGCCUGAUUAAGUCCACUUCUCAGAUGAAACACAUCCACCCUUAAGGUAGUGCUCUCAUAGAAAAAUGUUCAUCCCUGUGUUUCUGUUAGUCCAAAGAGCUCUGUUAAGACUAAAUUGAGAUAGACGGUUUUGUGAGCCACUAUCCCUUCUCUAUUUCUAAACCAGACUGUAUCUUAAUCCACAUUCUGAAAGUGUAAGUUCCAAAUAGAAUUCAAGACAUCUUUAAUAACAUUCUUAAAACACCCUCUCACCAUUUAACAUCCCUUAAGACACUCCGUAUCUUACACCCAGGCUGCAGAUGGCAGUUACUGGCCACUACCUAUACUGUCUCAGUGUUUAUCAAGAGUGGGCGUCAUUUGAACUUUUUGUGAUACAGGGUCUUGCUAUGUAGUUCAGGCUGGUCUUGAACUCACUGUGAGCCCACGCUGACCUUGAACUUGUGGUAAUCCUCCUGCAUCAGCCUCCUGAGUGCUAGAUUACAGAAAUGUGACAUCGCGCCCGGCUACCAUUUAAAAUUUACUAAUUCCCAACUUGGAGGUUGCCAAAACACAGAGCAGAUUUUUAGCAGAAUAGCAGUUUAUUCAUUUAUUUUUUCACUGAUCACAUAUUUUUAAACUAUCUACUAUGCACUAUGAACCAGAGACUACUAAAUGCCAGGAAUUUACAAGUGGGCAAAAUAGCUCUACAUUUUCUUUUCAAAGUUUUGCCGAAAAGAGUCCAGAAACCAUUUCCUCUUUAGCAUGUUUUCCACACUUACAAAAACUCUUCAGUAUCUAUGAUGUGAAUGUAAAGAUGAGGCUUCAGGUACCAAAUAAAAUGGUAUAAUUUUGCUAGAAUUUCUUUCAGUUUGUUUUCUACAUCAUUAAAUUGGAGUACAUUUAAUGAUCUUGUACUAUUAGUCAUAAUCUAUGUAUUUCUUUUAUCUACCUAAAAAAAUAUUAUGAGCUCUGGGAGGACAGGGCAUCACUGUAUCACCAAAAACAGCAUACCUGGCAUACAAAAGAGACAAGAGCCUUCUCAUUUCACAGAAUUUUUAUUUUGGACUUCCUUCCAGGACUCAUUCUGAAGACAUCUGCUGCAACUGUAAUACAUCAGCUGGGACUCACCUUGAUUGAAUGAAUUAUUUUCUGUGAACCAUAAAAAUAAAAAUGAGGACCCUUAUUUCCAACUAAUCCAAUUAAAUCCCACUCCUGGAAUUUCCACACAUUUCAACAUUAAAUGAAAGUCAUAUAUUUCUUGAAUACCAAUCCAAGAAUCAUCUAAAAAAAUAGACAAUGGUAAUUCAGUACAAAAACUCCAGGAUCAUUCUUGGGGAUCUGUGUAAGCUAGAGACCAAACCCUCGAAAGUUCAUUGUUCAUUCAGCAAGGGUCAGCGCUUGGUACCAGGCUGUAGGAAAAUCAGGAAGUCUCUGCUUCUAUAGGACAGACAGACAGUUGCUGUUACGGCUAUAUUACUCCAGCUGGUACGUGUAGAUUAUGGUAGGAAGCAAACGCUCUUGACCCUCAGUACUUGGGGGGUCAAAGAUAUUUAACCGAUUGAUAAAUGUAUUUAGCCUGUUGGGGUGAGAACAGUUUUUACUGUCACUGCACACAACCAUCUCCUUGACUGGGAAAUGAGUACUCUUGGCCAUAAAGGAAGUACUGAGCUCAUUAUCUAAUUGACAUAUCCAAAUGGUCAGUUUCACCAGUUAUUCUACCUUUUAUUGAGAAAGAAUUAUUAAAACUAUAUUCCAACCUAUAAAUGUUUAAAACUAUGGUAUUAAAACUCUGCUCCUGAGAGCCUUAAAAUUUUGUAAAUGCAGGGCCUGGGGGUUUAGCUCAGCAGCACAGCGCCUGCCUGGCAAGCGUGAGGUCUCAAGUUCAGUUCCCGAUACCAGAAAAAAAAAUUGUAAAUGUGACCUCGCCUGCCCCAGGGACCCUGUGUGGUGGCAGAUGGCUUCAGGGAGAUGUUUCAGGGGUUCUUCUGUCUUGACACACUCUCCUCAACUUGAAAAUUUCCAUGUAAUGUUGUUGUUCAUUUUAUUUUAAUUUUAAAGUUCAAUGUGAAACAGAUUUUCCGUGAGAGGGGAACGAUUUCUGUAGCUUUAUAUAGUGUGUAAACAGUGGUUUAAGAAAAGGAAAAUUGCGAUAGAAGCACAUGACUUUUAUUUAUUUCUCUUUGAGAAGCAUAUUGAAUUUCAAUGAUGUGCAGCACAGGAUACAGCGGAAAAUUUUUUUAUAUUGGGUUAUUUUGGCCUUUGUUUAUGCAACUUGGUGUCAUGAAGAUUACUUCUCUAGUAGCUAAGGUUGCUAAGUGAUACUUUGGAAUAAACAUUUAGGAAAUGCAAAGCUACUUGUCAAAACAACUUAACAUCAUUACUCAGUGUUCUCCAAGAAGAUCCAAUGGAAAUGGACAUCUCUGUCACAUACUGUUUCCUAGCACUGGAAGCAGAGCCCGCACUGAAGUAAAAUACGUACCAAUUUUGACAGGAAGCUGAAAUAUGUAGUGUUUAUGUAAGAUAAAGUUGUGUUUAUUUCCAAAGU